UCAGGAAGUCGUGCUGCAGGACGUAGAGCCUCCUUCUCAUCAGAGCUCGUAGGCCCUCACGAAAAGGAAAGAACCCGUCAGAACCAACAUGUCUCGCGUCUCAGUCCGUGGAGAACAUGUGUUUAAGGUCAUCGUCAGUAACGACGCUCUGUGUCUGGAAGCAGGAAGUGAUCCCCACGGAGCUGCUCUUCAAACACCAGGAUCCCAGAGGAACUGCUUCUGUUCCUGGAAGAGUUUCACUCACUAACAUGACUCGUCCCACCUUUUAGAAUAUGAAGUCAACUUAAAGCCACUGGGGACCCUCUGAGGAAAACCAGGCUUUAACAUCUGGGUACUUACAGCAGUUCAUCAUCAUCAUCAUCAUCAUCAUCAUCAUCAUCAUCAUCAUCAUCAGAGGUGCAACCAGGAAAAGUUCAGUGAAAAGUCUGUUGACUACGUUUAAACAGCAAUAAUCUGACUGUUGAUCUUAUUUAGAAUAAGAUAUUAUUCCAUUUAUGGUGUUUACAUGAGUUGCCACCAGAAUAAAUAAUUCAUAUUCCUGUUUACAUGUUAUAACA